CCUGUCUCCUAGCUGGGUGAGGAGUUUCAGGACCAACUUGGAGCAGGCCUAGGACCAGAAAUCACUGAAGCAGACUAUUUUCAAGGGUAUUUGCCAAGGAGCUGAUUGUUGGGGAAAUGAGUAUUAAGGAGCCUUGGGAAGGGCUAAAGAACCAAUCCAUCGGAUCUGAGGAACCUCCCCACAGGCUGGGCGCCCGAGUACCAGCUUCGACAUUCUCUUCACUUUACUCAUUCUAAGUUUUGUUGUCUCCCACAUUUUCCACCUCCAAGGAGGCCCCCAACUUUUGCAAAUAUUCCAGUGUUGAAAAUACACAUCCAAAAGAGGAAGCUUCCUGACAGUGUUCUGUCAAGGAGCAAAGGGCCCUCCCCGGAAAGCUGCUGCCUCCUCUCUCCUCGCUUCCACACACCCUCCUCCAGCCUUCAGCGCCGAGCAUCUCCACUGCUACCCAGGAAAGCCCGUGCCUUUUCACCCGGAACACUGCCCGACACCUCCUCUGCCCACCCACCUCUCAGGAGCUGGGAACGUCACCAAAAGCAUCAAUUUGGUGUCAGGAGUUUCGGAAUCCGGAUCCAAGCACCCAGAAAAGCGGCUGCUCUUCGGCCAGACCAGGCACAUGUGGACUCUCCUUUCACUAAGUUCCCCACCACUUUGCUCGGCAAGACACGAUUCCUGCCGCUGGAAACCAGCACCUUCUACCUGCCGGAGAAGAAAAGCUUUGGGUUCCAUCAUAAUUAAUUAAGAUUCGAUCAGAACAGAAGACAUC